GCCUGGCUACCUCAGUUGGUAGAGUAUGGGACUCUUAAUCCAGGGGUUGUGGGUUCAAACCCCACAUUGGGUG